GCUGGAGAGUACUUCAUGCUGCUGUGUGUCCUGGAGGGGUGUGUGUGUGUACAUACGUAUGUGUGUUUUAUGUGUGUGCUGAACACAUCUCUUUAUAUAGGCAUGAUAAUUUUCUGGGAAUACAUGCAAGAAUCCAUUAAUAAUGGUGGUAGGAUAAACUGAGAACCCUAAGAAAUACACAUAAGGGAUCAUAUGAUUACAUUUGAACUAAGGACAGAACUGCUGUGUUACUGGAUGGCAAAUGCAAAGCAAGGUUCUGAAAUGAUUUUUAGAAGGGAUAUUUAUUAAGCUGUGCAAAAGAGGCAAUUNGGAUGAAGCUGAUUCUAUCCUAUGAAACACCAGGUAAUUGGUUUAGAAAAGCAUCUAAUCCAAGUCUGCCCAAAGAUGUUCAAUUUGGGGACUUCUGUUGCUACUAUUAGAAGUGGAAAGCUUGUUUUAUACUGAGAUUGCAAACAUAGGAUAAUAUAAACCUAGGGAUGCUAAAAUCAUUAGGUAAAAAGAGCAAUUCUGAAAUUAAGGCCAAUGUAUCAGAGAACAAAACCAAGAGGGCAAGAAAAAACAAGUCCUACUGAUACAGUUUUAGCCUAGAUCCAUCCAUGCCUAACGACAGGACUUUUCACUUUGUUAGCCAAUAAGUUUUCCUUCUUGCCUAAAUCAAGUUGGAGUUGGUUUAUAACUUUUGGAACUAAAAGAAUACUAACUCUUGAAAGUAUUGUUGUCAAAAAGGACACCUACAAGUGACUAUUCCUUCCUAGCAAAGAAUAUGCUUAACAAAGAAUAUGCUUAGGCUAGUUGUUGCUCCAGCAUUUCUAUAAAUAGGAAGAGUUAGAUGCUAUAAUCAAAUCAGAGAGGACUGAAUGAGGGACUUGUUUAGAAGCCACUUAUAAAAUUGGUUAAAUAUCUAUUAUCAUAACAAAGAAUAGGAGUAAAAAAAGCCCAAAGGCAACAUCACUGACUCAAACUAAGAAAAAGUCAAUCAACAUUGUUUCCAAAGCACUAACAGGGUCAUAUAUAUAUAUAUCUCAAUGCCUACCAGAGAGGCAGGAUGAUAUAGUGCUAUGGGUUCAAUUCACAGCUCUAUAAUUUACAGAACUAAAUAAUCCUGGAAUAGUGAUUUAAAUUCAGGAGGAUACAUUUUCACUUAGAUAAUGGAGAUCAUUUUACAGCUAUUGUAAGAUUAGAUCCAAAAUAAGUAAAUCACAUAGCACAUACAUGUGCAUACAUAUAUGAUAUUCUUUGAAUAUAUUAAGAGCUUACCUUCUGCCAUAGCAGUAACAGAUUCAUGAAUUUUUUAAUAGAUGCUAAAAUGAUUGGUUAAGGUUUAUGAGGUAGCAGAAAAUGAUAUGACGUAUUGAGCACCUAGGAGCUGUUUAAAGGAGAUCAAAACAUCAGUUCAGUAAACUGUAAUGCACAAACCUGGAUUGGAUCCUUAGCUACACAAAAAAGUCACUAUAAAAGACAUUAUUGAGGAGAAUGACCAAAGUUGAAUAUACUACAAAUUAUAUAAUUAUAUAUUUAAUAUUAGAUUUCUAAAAUUUUAUAAUCAUUCUGUGAUUAGGCAAGAGAAUACCCUUGUUCUUAGACAAUAGAUGCUUAUUAUAUUUUAGGGGUGAAGGGUUAUGACUUCUUUUACUUACUCUAAAUGGCAAAGAAUAAGGAGGAUAAGGAGAAGAAUAGUAAUAUAAUUAGAGAGCAAGAGGAAAGAAUUCAAGUUAAUCUUAAAAAUUGGCAAAUAUAUGUUUAGAGUAUGUUUCUCAUUCUUAUAAUUUUCUGUAGGUUUGAAAUUCUUCAAAAUAAAAAAUAAGGUGAAACAGAAACAAAUUUUAACUUAAAAUUAAUAAAUUCCAGAUUCUCCCUUUGAUCCAGCAAUUCUAGUAGGAAUCUAUUUUACCUGUAUUCCUAUCUAACUACAUAAAACAAUAUCUACUUGGGCAUCCAUGAUCAAAUUUCUUAUAAUCCCAAAUGCUGGUAACAACCUGGAUGUCUAUUAAUAAAAGAUGAAUAGUGGUACAUCUACUAAGUGGAAUAUUCUGCAGUUAUUAUAAGGAUCAAGUUAGUCUACAAAAAAUGGUACAAAAAAAAUCUAAACUCGGGCUGGGGUUGUGGCUCAGUAGAGUACUUGCCUAGCAUGUGUGAGGCACUGGAUUCAAUUCUCAGCACCACAUAAAAAUAGAUAAAUAAAACAAAAAGGUCCAUCAUAAUUUAAAAAGAAAGAAAGAAAGAAAAAAGAAAAAAAUCCAAACUCUGUAGUGGAGUAACAAAAGACAGUUAACAGAAGAGUUAAGUAUAAUAUACUUUUGUUUUAUCAGCAAUCAUAUGUUAUAUUCAAAUUUGGUUAUUUUCCAAAUUAUUUUUAUGUCAAAAUUAAUGCAUACACAUAAUUGAAAAACAAGUACUAUUAAAAUAAUUAUACAAUAGUCUCUUUUUUUACCUUUACCCAGCUAUUACUCUCGAUCAUCUCAGAUAGUUAUUUUUAAUUCUUUCAGCUGCUUAUGUUUUCAAAGAGGCUAUACAUGGCCAUGACAUUCAAAAUAUUUAACAACUAGGAAAGUGUGGGCCUCUGUAAAUCAUAACCCACUAAGACUGGCUGGAGAGUACUUCAUGCUGCUGUGUGUCCUGGAGGGGUGUGUGUGUGUACAUACGUAUGUGUGUUUUAUGUGUGUGCUGAACACAUCUCUUUAUAUAGGCAUGAUAAUUUUCUGGGAAUACAUGCAAGAAUCCAUUAAUAAUGGUGGUAGGAUAAACUGAGAACCCUAAGAAAUACACAUAAGGGAUCAUAUGAUUACAUUUGAACUAAGGACAGAACUGCUGUGUUACUGGAUGGCAAAUGCAAAGCAAGGUUCUGAAAUGAUUUUUAGAAGGGAUAUUUAUUAAGCUGUGCAAAAGAGGCAAUUGGUUGGGGAGAGGAACUCUGGGAGAAAAGAAGAUCCUUUCAAAAUAUUUUCAAGUUCCUGAGUGCUGUGUGAUUUUACUUCUUUCCUGCUUUCCCACAAAUCUUAAGCAAACUCUUUCUUAUUCAUUGUGGCAUUGGAUCUAUUUUCUAGGAGCAGAUGACUGGAUAUCUGUGACCUCAAGCAGUGGCUUUCAGGGGGGAAUCAUUUUCCAUUCUCUUUGAGCUUCCAUUCUUUUGGCAGGAGAUGCGUCUUAGUACAUUUUGUGAAGAGAUAACAAAACACCAUACACUGAAUACUUUUUAAGCAAUAGAAAUUAACUUCUCAUGUUUUUGAGACUGGGGAGUCCUAGACAAAGGGGCUGGCAUCUGGUGAGGAACUUUUGGCUGCAUCAUCCGAUGAUGGAAAGUGGAAGGGCUAGAGAAGGCAAGAAGAGAGACAAAGAUUAAACCCAUAGCCUCAGGCCUUUUUAUAAUCAG
rnacentral:lncRNA from 1 species